rnacentral:rRNA from 1 species
UACAGAGGUCUCAACCGUUGUUCGGAUUCAUUGGGCGUAAAGGGUGCGUAGGCGGUCGCGCAAGUCGGAUGUGAAAUCUCAGGGCUCAACCCUGAAACUGCAUUCGAUACUGCGUGGCUAGAGUGCUGGAGAGGAGACUGGAAUUUGCGGUGUAGCAGUGAAAUGCGUAGAUAUCGUAAGGAAGACCAGUGGCGAAGGCGAGUCUCUGGACAGCAACUGACGCUGAGGCACGAAGGCCAGGGGAGCAAACAGGGAUUAGAAC